rnacentral:rRNA from 1 species
GUGGGGAAUCUUGCGCAAUGGGUGAAAGCCUGACGCAGCCAUGCCGCGUGAAUGAUGAAGGUCUUAGGAUUGUAAAAUUCUUUCACCGGGGACGAUAAUGACGGUACCCGGAGAAGAAGCUCCGUCUAACUUCGUGCCAGCAGCCGCGGUAAUACGAAGGGGGCUAGCGUUGCUCGGAAUUACUGGGCGUAAAGGGCGCGUAGGCGGACAGCUUAGUCAGAGGUGAAAGCCCAGGGCUCAACCUUGGAAUUGCCUUUGAUACUGGCUGUCUUGAGUUUGGGAGAGGUGAGUGGAACUCCGAGUGUAGAGGUGAAAUUCGUAGAUAUUCGGAAGAACACCAGUGGCGAAGGCGACUCACUGGCCCAAUACUGACGCUGAGGCGCGAAAGCGUGGGGAGCAAACAGGAUUAGAAACCCUUGUAGUCC